AGUGAACGCUGGCGGUAGGCCUAACACAUGCAAGUCGAACGGCAGCACAGUAAGAGCUUGCUCUUACGGGUGGCGAGUGGCGGACGGGUGCGGAAUACAUCGGAAUCUACUUUUUCGUGGGGGAUAACGUAGGGAAACUUACGCUAAUACCGCAUACGACCUACGGGUGAAAGCAGGGGAUCUUCGGACCUUGCGCGAUUGAAUGAGCCGAUGUCGGAUUAGCUAGUUGGCGGGGUAAAGGCCCACCAAGGCGACGAUCCGUAGCUGGUCUGAGAGGAUGAUCAGCCACACGGGAACUGAGACACGGUCCAGACUCCUACGGGAGGCAGCAGUGGGGAAUAUUGGACAAUGGGCGAAAGCCUGAUCCAGCCAUACCGCGUGGGUGAAGAAGGCCUUCGGGUUGUAAAGCCCUUUUGUUGGGAAAGAAAAGCAGCAGGUUAAUACCCCGCUGUUCUGACGGUACCCAAAGAACAAGCACCGGCUAACUUCGUG
rnacentral:rRNA from 1 species